GUGUUCUACUCAAUACUUCGGCAGCACAUACACUAAAAUUGGAACGAUACAGAGAAGAUUAGCAUGGCCCCUACUCAA
ensembl:snRNA U6 U6 spliceosomal RNA